UCGGAACCCUAAAUCUUUCCGGAAAAUGUCGACGUGGCAGAUAUUCUCCGACAAUGCUAACAAUUUUCGAUGGGAGGUAUCCGGCCAGAUACUCCGAACCAAACACGAACCGGACCGUGCCUCGAAUGAACUGCACAACUCCGAUUUUCGUCUUCCUUCCAUGGCCGAUGUAUUGCUCCAGGGACAGUCGAAGCUUCUGGAGAAUGAAAAUGAAGCUUCUGAAACUACUCCGAUGUUUAAAACCGGAUUGGGGAGGUCAGUGAAGUUGAAACAGUCCUCGAUCGCCAAAGCGUUAUCUGUUCUGGGCAACUAUAAGGAUGGUGAAGGGCAUCAGGCUGGAAAUGAAUGCGGCUAUUCCAAUUCUCUUUUCCAGACAGGUUCAGGGAAAUUUGUUAACAUAUCUUCUGCUGGUUUGGUUAAAGCUAAGACAUUAUUGGGAUUGGAAGAAGAUGAUGAUCAUUGCAACUUUCAAGACCUUCAACAUACAAGGACUCCAUCCACUCCUAUUAGCCCUUGUGGGUGGCAAUCUGUGUCAAAUUUGCCGGUGAAGGAAGUUGUGGAAGUUAAUCAGUUAGUGAAUGUUGCACAAGUUCCAAGGCCUUCGUCAAUUUGUAACUCUGGUUUGCCUGGACAUAUAUUUAAAAAUGAGAUAAAUUCAGGUAUGAUGCCAUCUGAAUCACCAAAUUCAGCUCCCAAACUGCCUCCUAUUAAGUUCCUUACUGCCGGUGGGAGAUCAUUAUCCGUUUCCAGUGAUGCACUGCAGUAUGCAAGGAGUCUCCUUGGUGAUCCAGAGUUGGGGACACCCUUUGAUGAAGGGACUGCAGGGGAAUCGGAUCUUUCAUUCUUUAAAGAGGCAAGAUUAUAUAAUUCUAUUUCAAACAAGGAAAUUGAUGUUUUCACUUCUACUCAAGAAGCAUCAAAGAACAGAUCUUUAACAAAAAGUUUCACCUCUCCUUUGAGAUCAUUUUCGAACCAAGCAAUGUCAAUGGUGAAUUUAGAAAAUAUAUAUGUUUCAGGUAACUUGAUCAAGAAAUUUGAUGCAGUUGACGAUGACAGAGUUGGUGUAUUGGAUGAAUUGCCUCCCAUGGAUAAAACCUUAAGCAACAUGCCUUCUGCACCCAAUACCAAAAUGGCUAAUCCUUUGGAAGAUAUUAAUGGUUCAAGAAGCAAUUCACUUGGGAGGUCUUUUGGUAAGCCACUUGCUGAUAUUACAAAUAGGAUUGGUGCAGCUCAUCGCAAUAUUAAACAAAAUACAUCUGAAAAGAGGAGACAGUGGAGGAGUUCUGUUUCUCCAUUCAAGAGACCUCGCAGCUCCAAAUUCUCCACCCCUUUGGUUAAAAAUGUUUCUCUUGCUAAUGGUUUAUCUGCCUCAUCAUCAGAACAUUCCAGUUGCAGAAGAACAGUUUCCUCUAGAUAUCCAUUUCAAUUUCAAAGAAUUUAUAUUAGGGAUUAUUUUGGAAUGCCUCCAUCAGUCCAGGGCAGGUUGGAGCAUUUGCAACACCAGGUAAGAUGGAUCAAAUCAGCCAAUGCUGAAAAGUACGUGUUUCAAGAUGAAUCUGGCUUAAAUUGCAUUGGGGCAGAGGCUUUUCUUCACAUGUUGGCAAAGUCUGGGGCUUCAGUGCAAUAUGCUUCUAAACAAUGGGUCACUAAUCACUACAAAUGGAUAGUCUGGAAAUUGGCUUGUUAUGAAAGAUGUUAUUCGGCCAAAUCUGCUGGAAAGUUUUUGACAAUUUCCAAUGUGCUCGAGGAAUUGAAAUAUAGGUAUGAAAGAGAAGUAAAUAAUGGCCAUCGAUCUGCAAUCAAAAGAGUUCUGGAAGGGGAUGCAAUGCCUUCUUUGAUGAUGGUCCUUUGCAUUUCAGCUAUUCACUCAAAUCAUGAACUGAAGAUUGAGACUUGUCCAGUGGUAUCAGAUGGAGGUGAAAGUAGUUAUUCUUCUAAAGUGGAACUAACUGAUGGGUGGUAUUCUGUGAAUGCUCUUUUGGAUGUUUCACUGUCAAAGCACCUUGCCGCUGGGAAAUUGUUUGUGGGACAGAAACUUCGGAUCUGGGGAGCAGGAUUAUGUGGCUGGGUUGGGCCUGUUUCACCCGCUGAGGGUUCAGGAUCAGUUAGUUUACUUUUGAACAUAAAUGGGACAUAUAGAGCUCAUUGGGCUGAUCGAAUGGGAUUUUGUAAGGGUGUUGGUGAUCCGUUGGCUUUUAGGUGCAUCAAGAGUAAUGGAGGUCCAGUUCCUAGGACUUUAGUCGGUGUCACACGGAUAUAUCCUGUUCUCUACAAGGAGAGGUUAAGUGAUGGGGGAUCUAUUGUGAGAUCAGAGAGGAUGGAAACUCAGAUGAUGCAGAUGCACCAACACAGGCGCUCUAUCCUUGUAGAAGGCAUCAUAUCUGAAUUUCAAAGGGAGGACAGCCAUUCUCAUGUAUUUAACGAUAAUGAUAGUGAAGAAGGAGCAAAACUUUUGAAAAUACUUGAGACAGCAGCUGAACCGGAAGUUAUAAUGGCAGAAAUGAGUCCAGAGCAACUUACUUCUUUUUCCACUUAUCAAGCAAAAUUAGAGGCAACCAAGCAAUCAAUCCUGGAAAAAUCCAUUGAAAAAGCUUUGAUAGAUGCUGGUCUGAGAGAGAGAGAUGUCACCCCAUUUAUGAGGGUGAGGGUGGUUGGAUUAACAAAUAAAGACUAUCAAGAAAAGUUUAGCUCCAGGGAAGGGAUUAUAACGAUCUGGAACCCCUCAGAGAAGCAGCAAUGUGAGCUGGUUGAGGGGAAGGCAUAUGCUAUUACAGGGCUUGUACCAGUGCACUCUGAUUCCAAUACGCUUUACUUACAAGCAAGAGGACCUACUACAAAAUGGCAGCCACUAUCUCCCCCAACUCUUGAACACUUUAAGCCAUUUUUCAGUCCUCGCAGAUCAAUUCCAUUGUCAGAUUUGGGUGAAGUUCCACUUUCUAGUGAAUUUGAUACGGUGACCUUUAUUGUGCAUGUGGGAGAGGUUUAUAAGGAUUCUCACCAAAAGAAACAGUGGGUGUUUGUGACAGAUGGCUCCAUUCCAGAGUUACAGUUAGAAGAAUUACCAAAAUCUUUAUUAGCCAUCAACUUCAGCUCAGCAUACAUAGAUGAUGAUUCAUUUUUGCCAAUAAACUAUAACCUUGUUGGAUCCACUGUUGGCUUCUGUAAUCUUAUCAAGAGAGCAAAAGACCACACGAAUCAUCUUUGGGUGGCUGAAGCAACAGAAAAUUCAACCUAUUUUUUAAAUUUUGAUCUCCCAUGCUGUACCCACCUUAAAAGUGCUGCUGCUGCUACACAACGAUGGGCAAUGAACUCUAGCCUGUUUAACUUCUUUCAGAUCAUCGACAAGCUUAAGGAGAAGGUUUUAUUUAUAAUUGGUGAUUGCAAAGGUUAGGUGGUGAAGUUGGCUGCUUUAAAUUGACAAGUUAUGUAUAAAAAGAAAUGAUGGAACAACAACCUCAGCUUCUUUAUGGAUGUUGCAACCUUAUCCCUUGAAAUUACUCAAGCAACUUCAAACUAUCUGUCGGUGUUUUGUUCAUCAACAUCCUCUGAACAGCUGACAUUUUCCGGAGGAAUCGAGGGACAACACAUUCAUGCAUGCAGGAUCGAUGACAAUUAUAACCAGGCCUCAGUCAGCUACUGAAACACCUGUUUGUGAAUUAAUAUUGGCUCUGUAAAAUGUACAGCCAAUUGGGGACUAUGGUUCUUAAUGGAAGGAAGCUGUGUCAAUUACAGAGUGAGAUCUUGUAAUAUCUGAUUAAUAAAGGUUUGAUCGUCUGCUAGUAAACGUUUAUAAUAUUUGUAUACCAUGUGCUGUAUGAUUUUCCAGUUGUAUUUUUAUCCCAUUGACCUCGUUGUCUUCAUCGAAGUAAUCAGACUAAUCCUGUAAAUGUAAAUUGCUAAAGAAUUGGCAAAAGUCAAAUUAGUCUUUUACUUAGAUUUAAA